GAAUUGUAAAUGUAGUUUUACGCUUUGUCUAAAAGAUUCCUUUAAGAAGUCAUAUUUUUACAUAUGUUAAGUAUUUUCUGGGUUGCCCUUUAACAACUUCAUAUUUUUUUUGCAAAUCCUGGUUUAACCUAGCGCGGCCUCAGCACAAACCAAUCAUCUUUCGCAAUAAAUCCAAAACUAAUUGGACAAAUCACGGAAGAUUAUUAAGAGAAACUCUUAGGCAGAACAAAGGCGACUAUCUGCAGACAUAGACAAUAAAGUCGACAAUACCACCAUAAUGAAGUCAAUGGAAAAUAGCUGUCCUCUUCGAGCCAGAAAAUCUGCCUGCGAAAAGUCCUGGAUGACAUGAGAAAUUCGUUAUAAAGAUAGAGAGACCCGAAAGCACGUGAAAAUCUUACAGUACACUGGGAUAGCUGCCACACCAAGCUUAAGGAACACUAUAAAACAAGAGUAGCUAAACGAAUCUCCUAGAAACUCUUUGUGGCGACAAAGGCCGUGUGUUUAUGCUUCCGUUUCCACUAGACAAGUGAACGCAAUGGUUCUGAGUGACCGCUCAGGGUCCCAUGUCUAUCUACAACCACAUAUACAAAUACAUUCAAGUGAACGCAGAGGUUAUAUGUGAUCGCUGAGGAUCCCUUUUUUCAUUUUAUUACAAUUACUUCCAAUGAGAGCAAACCGACAACAACCAAUGACCAGCGGCGAUCCGCUCACUACGAUCUCUGCCAAGGGAGUUGUAGAGGAGAUGCCAGUGCGCCAAUCAGCAUCCGUGAUUGAUCGAGGAAAGGAAGUUGUGAUGGAACGUAUCGAACUUAUACAUUCCGGCCCCCUUGAUAGAACUACGAGUCUAGCAAUUAAUAUCAAUUUAUUAUAAGUUAGCGCAAGUGACUAUUUCAACAAAAAUUGGAUUUUAAAAGAUGCAAUGGUUUUCUUGAUUGGUCGAUUUCAAAACUGUGUGCCAAAUUAUGUAACAUUUGCUGGAGGUAUUGAACCGGUGAGUAUAUACCCGAAAAUAGAUUUUUGGGCCAACAACGAAUCCAAAGCAAUUUGGGGUGGUUCAGCUUCGAGUAUCUAUAUAGGUCAGCGCCAAGCAGCAAAUCUAUUGGUCUAUUAUCGAAAGAAUCCACUAAAUCGAGAUUAAGAAUUCGAGUCUUUAAAUUACAAAAAGAUGGUGACGAGAACUACUUCCCCUUGAUUUUAGGUAAGAAUAACGCUUUAGUUUUGACAAUUCUAGAUGAAUUUUUAGGGGAAGACAACUGAAGAGAACUAACUUCUAUUGGUGCAACAGCUUUAGAACAAGUCUCAGAGUGAGUUAAAAUGCCACGUUUAGGUUUAAGUUUUUUACUAACAAUUGAUGCCUUGGAAUAAGGAUCUACAAUUGCUCGAGCAGUGUACGAUUUGCCAUUAUGAACAUUGUUUACUAUUGCAGUCCCCAGAGCACAUUUUCCUAAAUGGUGAUGGGAGACUGGCUGUUAGAAUUAUUUUCAGCAGAGGGUGGGUGCGCUUUAGAGGCAAUGUGGGCAAUGUCGGAGAAUAUGACUUUGGUUAGGACAAAUUGGACAAUAAGUGUUUGGCCGAGGAGAAGAAGCAACACAUUUUGGCUCAUGUAACAAUGGCUUUUUUAAAGAUUGAACUAGAUUUUCGAAGAAGAAAACAUCUAAGUCUGGCCAGGAAGGCAACAACGACUUAUUUUUGAUACAUUGAUCCCACAAAGCCAAGGUGGUUAAAGGCAAACGCUGCAAACAAAUAUACACAAUAAUUAGAUCCCACUGAUCCGUUGCGACGUCACAGACGGCCAUUGCAGCGAGACAACUAUUAAUUCCAUUUUGGACAUUUUUCAAACCCGCACAAGUUUCAAUUUUUAUGGGACUAAUACCAAACAAGUUUUUAAUAUGAUUGUUCACCACGAUGCCCCUAUUGUCAUACGCAUCCGACAAAGCUUUCCAAGGUAAAUGGAAACUAUAAUUAGUGAGUGGAAAUCUGAUAACGAUUUCCCGAGCCUCACCGGUGGUGAUAUGCAUAAGGUGGCAGAGGCGCUCAAUAUCGGAUAGACGUGAAUUUUGUACAAAAAAAGGUUGUAAACAAGUCGCGAAAGGUGGGCCAACACAUAAAAUCACCAGCAAAGACUUCGAUAUCAAUAGGUGGUACUACGAAACAAUGACUAUCAAAGGGUGGAUUGGAGCAACUUUUAUUGGGGGGAAGAUUUGGAGAAAGCAUCAAUGGGUGGAGAAACAGACUGCACAGAAACCGGUUCGACGAGACUGUCCAAAAUUUGCUCGGAAGGGGGUGUUAUAUUAGAAAUAUCAGGCGAAGAUCUGUUUUGCACACUAGAACUGGAAGCAGCUGAGGAAUGAGAAGCCACAGCAGAAGAACAAUGAUCAUUGUUUGGAGAUUUGAGGCGAUCAAGGUCCUUGUUUAUGGUGGUCAAACACCAAUGGUAAGAAACAAAUGAAUUAUUGUAUUUAUCUACAACGACAUUAAUAUUACCAACCUGUGUAGUCUCGGAUGCCGUGAGGUAGGUUUUACACUCAGUAUAAGUGUUCUGAACCUUUUCCCAUAAUUCUCGAAUUUCAGAAAGACGAAUUUCGAGGCUGUAAAUAGUGAACGGUGUGGCAUCAAUUUCUUCGAAAUAUUCUACACUCCUCAGAACGAUGUCAGCGGCUCUAGUAAAACGUGUGAGAGGAGCGAUCGACAUUUUGUUACUAAAUUGAAAACAAAAACAAUACAAACGGCAUGCAAAAGAAAGAAGAUUCGAACAAGGAUUGUUAUUGUUGAAAGGAAAUAAGAAAUUUUCAAAACUAAAACCUCCAAAUAAUUCAAAAAAUGUUAUAUAUAUUGAGGAUAUAUCAUGGUUCAAUAGAAGAGGAAUUAAG